rnacentral:misc_RNA from 1 species
GAAAUGCGAUAAUUAAUGUGAAUUGCAGAAUUCAGUGAAUCAUCGAGUCUUUGAACGCACAUUGCGUCCCCUGGUAUUCCGGGGGGCAUGCCUGUCCGAGCGUCAUUGCUGCCCUCAAGCACGGCUUGUGUGUUGGGCUUCCGUCCCUGGCAACGGGGACGGGCCCAAAAGGCAGUGGCGGCACCAUGUCUGGUCCUCGAGCGUAUGGGGCUUUGUCACCCGCUCCCGUAGGUCCAGCUGGCAGCUAGCCUCGCAACCAAUCUUUUUAACCAGGUUGACCUCGGAUCAGGUAGGGAUACCCGCUGAACUUAAGC